rnacentral:rRNA from 1 species
GUGAACGCUGGCGGUCGGCCUAACCCAUGCCAGUCGAACGGCAGCACAGUAAGAGCUUGCUCUUACGGGUGGCGAGUGGCGGACGGGUGAGGAAUACAUCGGAAUCUACUUUUUCGUGGGGGAUAACGUAGGGAAACUUACGCUAAUACCGCAUACGACCUACGGGUGAAAGCAGGGGAUCUUCGGACCUUGCGCGAUUGAAUGAGCCGAUGUCGGAUUAGCUAGUUGGCGGGGUAAAGGCCCACCAAGGCGACGAUCCGUAGCUGGUCUGAGAGGAUGAUCAGCCACACUGGAACUGAGACACGGUCCAGACUCCUACGGGAGGCAGCAGUGGGGAAUAUUGGACAAUGGGCGCAAGCCUGAUCCAGCCAUACCGCGUGGGUGAAGAAGGCCUUCGGGUUGUAAAGCCCUUUUGUUGGGAAAGAAAAGCAGCAGGUUAAUACCCCGCUGUUCUGACGGUACCCAAAGAAUAAGCACCGGCUAACUUCGUG